GACGAACGCGGCGGCGUGCCUAAUACAUGCAAGUAGAACGCUGAGGUUUGGUGUUUACACUAGACUGAUGAGUUGCGAACGGGUGAGUAACGCGUAGGUAACCUGCCUCAUAGCGGGGGAUAACUAUUGGAAACGAUAGCUAAUACCGCAUAAGAGUAAUUAACACAUGUUAGUUAUUUAAAAGGAGCAAUUGCUUCACUGUGAGAUGGACCUGCGUUGUAUUAGCUAGUUGGUGAGGUAAAGGCUCACCAAGGCGACGAUACAUAGCCGACCUGAGAGGGUGAUCGGCCACACUGGGACUGAGACACGGCCCAGACUCCUACGGGAGGCAGCAGUAGGGAGUCUUCGGCAAUGGACGGAAGUCUGACCGAGCAACGCCGCGUGAGUGAAGAAGGUUUUCGGAUCGUAAAGCUCUGUUGUUAGAGAAGAACGUUGGUAGGAGUGGAAAAUCUACCAAGUGACGGUAACUAACCAGAAAGGGACGGCUAACUACGUGCCAGCAGCCGCGGUAAUACGUAGGUCCCGAGCGUUGUCCGGAUUUAUUGGGCGUAAAGCGAGCGCAGGCGGUUCUUUAAGUCUGAAGUUAAAGGCAGUGGCUUAACCAUUGUACGCUUUGGAAACUGGAGGACUUGAGUGCAGAAGGGGAGAGUGGAAUUCCAUGUGUAGCGGUGAAAUGCGUAGAUAUAUGGAGGAACACCGGUGGCGAAAGCGGCUCUCUGGUCUGUAACUGACGCUGAGGCUCGAAAGCGUGGGGAGCAAACAGG
rnacentral:rRNA from 1 species